GUUUGCAUUGAGUCAUGUGCAGUAAUAAUGACAUAUUUGUUAGCCUGCUAGCUGUUUCUAGAUUUUUUUAGACAUGAUUGACUGCUUCUACACAAAAGGAGUUUGUCGAAAAUAAGAGCAAUCCCACUGUUGCUACAGAGCCUGAAGAUUCUUUGCCUUUCUUUGAACUGUUUCAGUUUUUUCUUUCAUAUGGCUACAAUUAUUUGAUUGGUCCAUGUAGAUUUAGGCAACAUGAGAUGAGCCGAUGAUAUAUAUUGUAAUGUAUGAUGUCUAUUGCUACAAGUGUUGAUGUCUUGGUGAUGGCAGGUUUUGCAAGUAAUUGAAAUGCUUUUUGAGUAGACGAUAAUUAGAUAAAGUUCUACCUGAUCUUGAGGUAUGUGAAAGUGAACUCGGUGAUUUCGAGUAAUUCUAAGAGUAUACAUCUCAUCUAUCAGGUAUCCUUUUUUGAGUAAUGCUAAGAGGAUACAUCUCAUCUAUCAGGAAUUAAUCCAUCUCGUUUUCUCUGUGUUUACUUUGUUCUACAAAUGGCUAACUAGGUAAUGAUUAUUGAUAGCUAAUGACAUGAGGGAGAGGGGGACAAGCCCCUUUAGCUACUGCAAUACGGUUGUGCAUACAAAUGUGCUACUCAUAUUCCACUGUUAGACGAGCUAGCCGCGAGAAGCAGGUUGUAAGGGGAGCCAGAGAGGUGAAGGAGGUGACCAAAGCGGCAGCGGCCUUGGGGUGCCGAAGAAGAGUGCGCGGGAGGAUGGAAAGGGGCUCGUAUACGACGGCUGGAAGAGUGGUUGUGCAGAAGGAAGAUGUUGGUUGAAUGAGUCCCUUGGAGCCUAGCGGUGCUGCUCAGCCCUGUACAUGCCAUUGCCCGCCUCUGUGAGUAACUGGGAUCCUCACGCUACCAAUUUGGUCAUCCCUGGGAAACAUCAAGCAGAUCAUGAGACUGCAUCUUGAGAAGAAGCAUUAUUUACAACCCAGUAUUAUGUCAUGCAUGGAAGAAGCACUCGACCUUAUUACUAACUACUUCCUCUGUACACAAAUAUAUGACGUCUUAGACUGAACAUACAAGUCUCUAAAACGACUUAUAUUUAUGUACAGAGAGAGUAAUAACAUGUAAACAGGUGUGUUGCGUUCCUAUUCUGAUCGUGGAUUUCAAGCAUACUGCUAACAAAUGUUGGAGAGCGUGGCAAGUUUCAUCUAAUUCAAUACUGAAUUUCUGGCCUUCA